rnacentral:lncRNA from 1 species
GGGACAUUAAUGGAGAAUUUAAAGGUUAGACAUUGCAUGAACUGUCAUUCAAGUCACAGAUGUUUCAGAAAUAAGGGUACAGAGUCAGGGUACCCAGCCCCACCUGGUUAACUCAGCAUGAGGGAAUGAGGUAGGAAGGAUUAUUUUAGGGGAGGCUGCCUGACAGAAGGGUGGGGGAACCCCAGCAUGUGGUCCUACAGGGUCUUCCUAGUUAUUUUUUGUGGGGCAGGGUGCAGGUACUAAGGACUGAAUCCAGGAGAGCUCUACCAGUGAGCUACAUUCCAUUUUUCUUUUUUAUUUUAAGACAGGGUUUUGCUAAAGUCGCCAAGGCUGGCCUUGAACUUUCAAUCCUACUGCCUCAGUUUUCUAUGUUACUGGGAUAACAAGCAUGCACCACUGUCCAGCGCAUGGUCUUCCUAGUUCUGAGCAAACUUACCAGUAUUAGCUCCUGCAAAUGGGCAUCCUAACACCUUAUGAAGUUCAAAUUCCUGUAGUGGUUCAGUGACCAACACGGACUGAGACAUCCUGCAAGCUGGGUAGCACACUGUUGGCUCCCAGUGGAAGAGAUGUUUAAGCAAUGAUUCAAUAAGAUGAUAGGAAGGAUGGCGCAAGCAGGCACCUGGGCAGAAAUUGAG